rnacentral:rRNA from 1 species
CCUACGGGAGGCUGCAGUGGGGAAUAUUGGACAAUGGGGGGAACCCUGAUCCAGCCAUGCCGCGUGUGUGAAGAAGGCCCUCGGGUUGUAAAGCACUUUCAGUGAGGAAGAACGCCUGGUGGUUAAUACCCAUCAGGAAAGACAUCACUCACAGAAGAAGCACCGGCUAACUCCGUGCCAGCAGCCGCGGUAAUACGGAGGGUGCGAGCGUUAAUCGGAAUUACUGGGCGUAAAGCGCGCGUAGGUGGCUUGAUAAGCCGGUUGUGAAAGCCCCGGGCUCAACCUGGGAACGGCAUCCGGAACUGUCAAGCUAGAGUGCAGGAGAGGAAGGUAGCAUUCCCGGUGUAGCGGUGAAAUGCGUAGAGAUCGGGAGGAAUACCAGUGGCGAAGGCGGCCUUCUGGACUGACACUGACACUGAGGUGCGAAAGCGUGGGUAGCAAACAGGAUUAGAUACCCUGGUAGUC